rnacentral:rRNA from 1 species
UGGAUGGACCUGCGGUGCAUUAGCUAGUUGGUAAGGUAACGGCUUACCAAGGCAAUGAUGCACAGCCGAGUUGAGAGACUGAUCGGCCACAUUGGGACUGAGACACGGCCCAAACUCCUACGGGAGGCAGCAGUAGGGAAUCUUCCACAAUGGACGCAAGUCUGAUGGAGCAACGCCGCGUGAGUGAAGAAGGGUUUCGGCUCGUAAAGCUCUGUUGGUAGUGAAGAAAGAUAGAGGUAGUAACUGGCCUUUAUUUGACGGUAAUUACCUAGAAAGUCACGGCUAACUACGUGCCAGCAGCCGCGGUAAUACGUAGGUGGCAAGCGUUGUCCGGAUUUAUUGGGCGUAAAGCGAGUGCAGGCGGUUCAAUAAGUCUGAUGUGAAAGCCUUCGGCUCAACCGGAGAAUUGCAUCAGAAACUGUUGAACUUGAGUGCAGAAGAGGAGAGUGGAACUCCAUGUGUAGCGGUGGAAUGCGUAGAUAUAUGGAAGAACACCAGUGGCGAAGGCGGCUCUCUGGUCUGCAACUGACGCUGAGGCUCGAAAGCAUGGGUAGCGAACAGGAUUAGAUACCCUGGUAGUCCAUGCCGUAAACGAUGAGUGCUAAGUGUUGGGAGGUUUCCGCCUCUCA